GAGCUCCCUUCCUCCAAAACG
rnacentral:miRNA from 1 species